rnacentral:rRNA from 1 species
GACGAACGCUGGCGGCGUGCUUAACACAUGCAAGUCGAACGGAAAGGCCCUGCUUUUGUGGGGUUCUCGAGUGGCGAACGGGUGAGUAACACGUGAGUAACCUGCCCUUGACUUUGGGAUAACUUCAGGAAACUGGGGCUAAUACCGGAUAGGAGCUCCUGCUGCAUGGUGGGGGUUGGAAAGUUUCGGCGGUUGGGGAUGGACUCGCGGGUUAUCAGCUUGUUGGUGGGGUAGUGGCUUACCAAGGCUUUGACGGGUAGCCGGCCUGAGAGGGUGACCGGCAACAUUGGGACUGAGAUACGGCCCAGAAGACUACGGGAGGCAGCAGAGGGGAAUAUUGCACAAUGGGAGGAAGCAUGAUGCAGCAACGAAGCGUGCGGGAUGACGGCCUACGGGUUGUAAAAAGAAUUAGCAUGUGAAGAAGAGUGAGUGACGGUAAUGGGUAAAGAAGCACCGGCUAACUACGUG